GGAGCUCCAGCCCUCAGAGCCCCCCAUGCGCAGCCCGGCCCCUCUCCCCUUGGGGCUCUGCGCAGCCGGGGAUUAUUCUUUUAAUCAGAGUCUGUAUGGGAAUUGCUUGCAUAUAGAUUACGGGAGCAGGGCACGUCCUCCAGCAGCAGGAAGCCCCUGGCCCCGCCGGCUCCCAAGCAAUCUCGACGUCUCGGUGGAGCUGGGAUUAACGGGGGCAUGGGGCCGCACGCGCGCGCGUGUGUGUGUUUGUGUGUGUGCGCCCGCCCGCCGCCUCGUCUUCCUUCCAGUCCUUUGACCCUCAAUUGGGUUUUUUCAGCUAAUCCUCUUGUGUCUCCUCUGCACCGACUUCUUGCGCCUCCAACCCCCCCUGUGCCAGUGUGGGUGGCUUUGGGUGCCCACGGUGCAGGGCUCCCCCCAACAGGAUUUGGCCCUGCGGGUGCUGCCCUCCAUCGGGGCCCGUGCAAUGGGGGGGUCUUUCAGCCCAAUCCAGGGUGCGCUGGGGCUCAACGGCCCCUUCCACCUCUCCAUCGCCCUGAUGAGGCAGCGCCCCGUUGUCGCCCCGUGCCACCGUCCCCCUGCACUGCUGUCCCCCGCCAAGCACCCUUGGGUGCAGCGAGCAGCACGGGAAGGUCUUUCCACCCUGGUGGCUGUGGCUUCCCCUCCUAAUGCCUUAAUCCGCCCCUGAUCCGCGGUGCCCCUGGGGCAGCCGGUCCCGCUGACCUUGCAGGCGCUGGCCCCAGGGAAGGGACUCGGCGGCACCGGGCACUGAGGAGCACGGGCUGCCACGGCCACCCACCCAUGGCCUCCUUCUUCACGGCCGCCCUGAAGAGCUUUCAGAGGGGUGAGGAGGAGCCGCCCAAGGGGCCCCCCAAGGAUGGCAAGGUGGCCACGCUGCCCAACGGCAUGGCCCGCGAGGAGUUUGAGGAGUACCAGCAGCAGCUGCUGGAGGAGAAGAUCGAGCGGGACAAGGCCUUUGUGCGGAGGAAGGCAGAACGGGCCACUGUACGGAUGCACCUGCGGGACAAGUACCACCUGGCCCAGGACGAGCGGGAUGAUGCUCAACUGCACAUUGCCGGCGGCGCGGUGGAGCUGCCGCAGGAGCUGGCCGCCAUGGUGCAGAGCGACGAGGAAGAGGAGGAGGAUGGCGGUGCCGGGGCCUUCGCCUUCCUGACAAAGCUGCGGGAGGUUGACCUGCCGGCGCUGCGGGACCGCGCGUUGGGCAGCGUGGACGAGGUGAAGGAGAAGUGCACCCUCAUGUAGCAUCGCUGCCCACCCUGCCGGUGGGUGACACUGGCAGCGUUGGUGCUCAGCCCCUGCUGCCCCCCCCCGGGAGUGAUGGGAUGCGGCGCUGGCCCCAACGGCACGUCCCCGCUGGAGCAGGAGCCGCCGGGGGAGUCACGCUGUGUUUGCAUGAAAGAAAGGACGCGCUGAGCCCCCUCCGUCCUCCCCACGCUGGGGCCAUCUGCUCCGGAAAGGCCAGCGGGGACGGCCCUGCCCUGGGCUACCCACGGCUGCGGCAGUGGGGCUGGGAGGGAGCGACCGAAUCCAGUGCAGGUGGGGUGGGAGUUGUGCCACGGAGUUCACUCAUCGCUGUCACAAGAGCCACAGGUCUCAGCCACCCUGGCCGGAGCACCCAGAGCUGCAGGAACUCCAGCAAGAAAGUCCCUGGGUGCAUGAGGUGCUCGGUUCCCCCCGGGCACCCACCCCUCCAGGUACCAGUCAAGGGGCUGGUGACUACUGGAGCAUCCCAGGGAGUGUGUGACAGGCACAUCAGGGCUUGAUACCUGGGAGCCUCCUCGUGUUUGGUGGCCCUGCUGUCCCCACUGUUCCUGCUGUCCCUGCCCUUGCUACCAUUCCUGCUCGCCAGCCUUUCUUCAGAACUUGCAAAAUCUCCCAUUUAGGCACAAAAAUCCACCUGUGCUGCAUGGGAUGGGGCCGUGCACGUCCCCACCGGUUGCUUGGCCAGGUCCCUGAUGGGGCGGCAGCAGCCGUGGCACCCGGCACAGCCCCGUUCCCACCCCACGUUCUCACUGUCCCCAGGGCUGGGGCUCGACGCUGAGUGCCGGCGGCCGGGAUGGUGGCACCGAAGUCCCCAACGUGCCCUGUCACGGCAGGUUCCUCCAUCUCCGCUCUGUACCGGGGCCUCAUCCCACCCUGACAGGCAGCCCUGCUCCCAGUGCUCCCAGUGGGGCUGCGCGGGAGCUCCCAGUGCUGGCUGGGAUUCGGGUCAGGACCCUCCACCAGGUCUCCUUAGCUAAUCGUCCUGCCCCCCCCCCGCCCUCCCCACGCUGCCACCUGCCUCCCACUCAGCACCCUUUUGGGUCACCCCUGCCGCCUCCCCGCCUGCCCAAGGCCUCUUAAUGA